UGCUAUGAGUCUUGUGUGCAAAUAAUAUAGACAUAAAUUGAACAUCAGAAAUAAAUAUACUACAUUUUGCAGCUGACACCAAGCAACAAUGGCAAGAGUGGUAUCUGCGAGGUGUGUCUAGGGCGGCUGCGGGAGGCGUGCCUCUUCAAGAUGCAGGUGCAGCACUGCCAGGCCGAGCUGCAGGAGAGGUUAGAGGGAGGACUGAGUGUCAAAGAUGAGGAAGACUUAGAUGAACCUGAAGAUGGCGCAUGCAGCGAGCCUUCCGAGCCGUCUCUACGUUCAGACGAGGAGUCCCCGGUCCCGCCGUGUGAAGACGGGCCGCCGGGCGAACAUCUGUUAUGUAAGUACACUUUUCUAUUCUUAUUAUCAU